GGCCUUGACAUGCAGAGAACUUUCCAGAGAUGGAUUGGUGCCUUCGGGAACUCUGACACAGGUGCUGCGUGGCUGUCGUCAGCUCGUGUCGUGAGAUGUUGGGUUAAGUCCGUAACGAGCGCAACCCUUGUCCUUAGUUACCAGCACGUUAUGGUGGGCACUCUAAGGAGACUGCCGGUGACAAACCGGAGGAAGGUGGGGAUGACGUCAAGUCAUCAUGGCCCUUACGGCCUGGGCUACACACGUGCUACAAUGGUCGGUACAAAGGGUUGCCAAGCCGCGAGGUGGAGCUAAUCCCAUAAAACCGAUCGUAGUCCGGAUCGCAGUCUGCAACUCGACUGCGUGAAGUCGGAAUCGCUAGUAAUCGUGAAUCAGAAUGUCACGGUGAAUACGUUCCCGGGCCUU
rnacentral:rRNA from 1 species